GCACUCAGUCGUGCCAAACCCUGGAAGACCACACGGCCAAGCCAAAACCAUCAGCAGACAGUUGCAUUUAUUUGAACAAACUGUGAAAGACCGGAACCUGGCUUCACAUCCAGACCUGCUGCUCGGAGCGGCUUCCGUCUUCAAGCUACUGAAUGGAUGGAGGGGAAGGACAUUUUCAGGAAUAGAAACAGAACUGCUGUUCAAGUAGGGAGGAGAGAUGUGCACAGCUGAUCUUUAUUCAUGGCUUCCUUUGAUGACAGCAACAGGCUUGGCAGCGAAUACCAUUGUGACGAUCCAUUAUAGGAUUUGAGCACUUCACUUACAAGACGUACAGUGGACAGCACAUAGCGACAGUGACCUCAGAACCCCGGCCAAGUUGACCUCCGACCUCCGACCUCCUGGCGAGCUGCUUGUUAAUCACAUGGGCCACAAAAUAAAAGAUCUGGAGGCGGAGACGGGUUGCUG
ensembl:lncRNA